rnacentral:rRNA from 1 species
UUAUAAAAAAAAAUUAAUUAAUAAGAAAUUAAAUGAGAUCAUUAAAUUUAGAUAAUUUGGCGGUAUUUUAAAUAGUUAGAGGAAUUUGUCAGUUAAAUGAUACUCCACGAAUGGAAUGUCCUAAUGAAGUUUUUAUGUAUUGUUGUAUAAAAAUUAUUUUAUAAGAAUUAUAAUUAAAAUAUUUAAUUUAAUUUGAAUUCAAAUCAAAAUGUAGAAUUGUUAGGGUUAGAUGAAUUACAGUUUAAUUUAAUAUUGGAGUUAUUUUUUUAAUUAAGAUAAUAAAAAAGGAUUUAAAAGUAAAUUUAAGUAAAUAUUUAAAUUGAAAUAUUAAUUAAAAUAUG